rnacentral:lncRNA from 1 species
GUAUCAAGAAAUGACAGUAUAAAAAACAGCAAAAGAGUUAAAAUUCUUGCAUGGGGGAAGUGAAAAUUGGGAGAGAAGAGGAGCAUAGCAGGAGACUGCUGGUUUUCUUGUAGAACUAUUUGACAUUAUAAGCUAGGAGCAGUUAUAACCAAUAAGAAUCUGAAAACUGAAUACUAACAGCUAUAAGCACUACAUUAUAAUUGUGGAUGGCAUUUGCCUAAGGAAGAGAAUACACAAAAGGGUUAGUGUGGAGCGAUUGCUGGGGACGUUUACUUUGCUAUAGUCUUAAAGGAGUAGCUGUAGCAAGAAAGAGUAGCGGACACAGGCAGAGACACAGCCUGAUGAGAUAGGAGGAAGCCUGAAAGGGCUCUGUUGAAUGGCUCUGUCCACUGCCUGGUGGAAGCUUGAAUCCACAUGAAGGACAGAAGUGGUCUUUUCUACCAGAAGGUGAACCUACAAGGAUGAAGUAGCCUAAGACAGAGCCCAGCCAGAAGAACCUAGAGAGGGCAGAGGAACUGUCUUCCUCCCUCACAGUUUGGCAACUUGGAUGGGAUAAAAUUUCACUGGCUGGACACUACUCGCUCCUGGACUGCUGCAGCUGAGAGAUCAUGGAACCCUGA